GCGUCUUGUACUUGACUAAUUAGUAGGCGGCCAGAGCGCCACGUUUGAAAUCGCUGUGUUGGUUAUUCGAGCAGCACACAAGAAGAGACCCAGCCAUGACCUAUCAGCAGCAGUUUGUUUGGUUGCUGGCGUCCCUGAAACAUCUGAGGCAAUAUACUACAAUCAAGCUGAUUAUCGCUUCAAUCAAGCUGAGGAGUCGCUUCCGUCAAGCUGAGGAUUCCCUACAUGGUGCCUGGCGGAUCCGCCCGACCCAUCAAAGUGACGACAAAAACCGUCAAGACAAACCACUCAUGGUGAGAAACGUUCUCAAGUGCCCCACCCACUCCCCGACUGCUGCCGAAAAUGACCGAUGGAAAAAGCCUUCAUCACCCCAACUACUGAUGGAUGACCUCAGUUAGCCUGCCAUCGGCUUCAGAAGUCUUACUCAAGAAAUGCUGCAGUAAUCCUCCUGGAUCACCUGGUUUUUCAUCUCUGAUUACGCCCUUCAUUGGACCCUCAUCGAUCGUUGUAGGGUUCAGCCGUCUUCCUCAAGAAAUGCUGCAGGAAACCUCCUGGAUCACCUGGUUUUCCAUCUCUGAUUACGCCCUACAUUGGAACCUCAUCGGAACCUCAUGGACCGAUGGUAAAGGCUCUCAUCUCUCCAACGACAAUAAAAAAGGCCCUCGUUGCCCCCCCCCCCCAACCCAAUCCCCUGCUGAUGGAUGAUCUUAAUUAUCCUAUCUGUCUCAGUGGUCUUCCUCAAGAAAUGCUUCAGCAGUAAUGCUGCAGGAAUCCUCCUGGAUCACCUGGUUUUUCAUCUCUGAUUACGCCCUUCAUCGGACCCUCAUCGAGCGACGGAAAAGGCUCUCAUCUCCCCAACGACAACUGAAAAGAUCCCCCCACCCCCCACCCCCGGACCAGCCAAAUCCCCUGCUGAUGGAUGACCUUAAUUAUCCUACCAUCGGUCUCAGUGGUCUGCCUCAAGAAAUGCUGCAGGAACACUCCUGAAUCAUUGCCCCAACAACAACAGAAAAGAACCUCAUCGCCACCCUGCUGAUGACAUUAGUGACCCUACCAUCGGGUUCAGCCAUCUUUCUCAAGAAAUGUUGCAGGAAUCCUCCUGGAUCACCUGGUUUGUCAUCUCUGAUUAUGCCCCUCAUCGGAACCUCAUCGGCAGAUAGAGGAAAAUGGCUGAACUUAAAACAUUUAUCAAAACGACUUCAGUUUCUUUUCUUUUUUCCUUUCUACCAAA